AAGCGGAGGAAAAGAAACUAACAAGGAUUCCCCUAGUAACUGCGAGUGAAGCGGGAAAAGCUCAAAUUUAAAAUCUGAUAGUCUUUGGCUGUCCGAGUUGUAAUCUAGAGAAGUGCUAUCCGCGCUGGACCGUGUACAAGUCUCCUGGAAUGGAGCGUCAUAGAGGGUGAGAAUCCCGUCUUUGACACGGACUGCCAGGGCUUUGUGAUGUGCUCUCAAAGAGUCGAGUUGUUUGGGAAUGCAGCUCAAAAUGGGUGGUAAAUUCCAUCUAAAGCUAAAUAUUGGCGAGAGACCGAUAGCGAACAAGUACCGUGAGGGAAAGAUGAAAAGAACUUUGGAAAGAGAGUUAAACAGUACGUGAAAUUGCUGAAAGGGAAACGCUUGAAGUCAGUCGCGUUGUCCAGGGAUCAACCUUGCUUUUGCUUGGUGCACUUUCUGGUUGACGGGUCAGCAUCAAUUUUGACUAUUGGAAAAAGAUUAGGGGAAUGUGACAUCUUCGGAUGUGUUAUAGCCCUUGGUUGCAUACAAUGGUUGGGAUUGAGGAACUCAGCACGCCGCAAGGCCGGGUUUUUAACCACGUACGUGCUUAGGAUGCUGGCAUAAUGGCUUUAAUCGACCCGUCUUGAAACACGGACCAAGGAGUCUAACAUGCCUGCGAGUGUUUGGGUGGAAAACCCGAGCGCGUAAUGAAAGUGAAAGUUGAGAUCCCUGUCGUGGGGAGCAUCGACGCCCGGACCAGACCUUUUGUGACGGUUCCGCGGUAGAGCAUGUAUGUUGGGACCCGAAAGAUGGUGAACUAUGCCUGAAUAGGGUGAAGCCAGGGGAAACCCUGGUGGAGGCUCGUAGCGAUUCUGACGUGCAAAUCGAUCGUCAAAUUUGGGUAUAGGGGCGAAAGACUAAUCGAAUCAUCUAGUAGCUGG
rnacentral:rRNA from 1 species